rnacentral:lncRNA from 1 species
CUGUGUGCUCCUGGUUUCCAUCCACCAAGGAGAUUGAGAUGAGAUCCUCGACUAAUUCUCUCCGCUCUUCGACUAGCUCAUCGCGGGUGUCCAACCCUUCAAUUGAGUAUGGCUCGAUGGGUCUGACUCCUUGAAGAGUGAUAUUGUAACAGUGAUGCAUCAAAUCCUGAUCUCCACGGACUUCUCUGACUCCACAUGCUGUUGAAAAUUUUAUCUUCAGGUGGUAUGUGGUUACAACAACCCGGAGUGCAUUCAG